AACGUUGUCCCGCGUGUCUCACUUUUUCACCAGCUGGAAAGUUCCCGGCAGCGGAGAAGCACGCCGCUUUGUCCACGACGAGAGUUCUUGCGGAAAUUUAUGGGCGCUGGUGUCAGGAUCGCGCGAAAAUUUUCACUUUUCGCUGGGCCACGGCCGCCAACUUACGUACCGACAGAUAUCCGUACGCUGUGCCGACAGAAGUUAGCCGACCGCGAAACUACGUGGAAACGUUCAGCGCCCAUCGUUGGAAUUGUGCGUGAUCGUGCCUUUCGGCUUUUCCCCAUUCACCGCCUUGAAUUCCUAUUCUAAGCUUGUCAGGGUAGCACAAUGCUCGAGAAAUGUAACUGGUGGGGAAUUUUUCGGACGUUGCGAGAGCAUUCGAGAUGAACUGAAAAGGCAAAGACGAUGGGAUGGGAGGUAACAAUGAGAGACCGAAUAAAAUACCAACGCACUGAGUACUAGAACUAGUACUUUACGUCAAGCUUCAGUUAAGAGAGAGGAACUUGGUUCGGGCCUGGCUGGCCGGGUGGUUUCAAAGGACCGGAGCUACAUUUUCCAGUGAAAGGUACAAGGGACGUUGCAAACAAGACAACACGGUGGAAAUCUACGUAUCCGUAGCGGAGAGUUUCCCAACGACGCCGACAUGCAUCACGGUAACUUGCCGGGGAAGGUCAUCAGAAGUUGAAGAGUGUCCGCCCGUGUGCAUUACAAAUUAGUGUCUUUGAACUAGUUCCGACCACUGUCAUAGACCACUCAUCCUCACAUCCCAUAUAUCCAAGCUGUUUGUCUCCAACCCGAAAUUUCAUUCAUAGCUUCCGGGCAAUCGCCUCUUCUAUCUUUCGUUGGUUUAAUCAGACUAACGACUUUCGAUGCACGAGAUUCCGUUGAAAUUGUUGGGAAUUUUAUCGUUAAAAACGGAGGUUUCUGGGGAUUGGCGUCUCGUUGUUAUUAACAAUACGCAAUAGGAUGUACUGAUUGAAACUGUACAAAUUAUACGAGGCUGUAAAGAUGACGGAAAUUGAUAAUACACGGUACAAAAGAAAAGCCUCGAUAUUACAUCGUUAGCUUAAAAAAUCUUGGAAAUGUGAAAAGUGAGAAUUUCGAUCGGGUGCUGAAAAUUAUACGAACGUUAUAUGCAAUUUCGUGGUAGAUCGCGGUUUUUGAUAGAAGCGCUCAAGUUUCUUUUAGAGAAACUGAAAAAGGAAACGUACAGAUAGGCGAAACAGUUAAAAACGAGAGUUAAGAAUCGACAGAGUUCGUAGUUCGGAAUUGAGGUUAUGUCGAGGCAAUAUCUCGUUGAACGGAAUAAGAAUAAUAAAAUCAAUAUUUUAUUAUUACAUAUAAUUAUUAUCGUAUUAUUUUAUAUUCUACAAGUCAAAAAAGUCAAUCUAUAAUCAAACGUUUCAUGAAUAUCUCUAUCGAAACAGACCUAACUUCAAUAAUUAAUAUAAAUCGCUAUGGCGUAUAUUCUAUAACGAAGAAAAGCAGCAGAAAAUCAGCGAAUUUCGAAAAUAUUUAAGGAGAAAGAAAUUCCUAGAUGGAAAACUAUUUUAGAUGGAAAAUGUUGAAAGCUCGAGCUCGUGACGCAUUUGAAUCGACAAAAGCGCGAGAACGAAGCAUGAAAAGGGUGUUGUAACUACAGGCGUUGCUCGUUGAGGAAGAAUUCAAUUUGUGCGCGUUUACCGCGCGAGACAAGAGCGCGGUCCCUCUUGGUUGCUGCAUUUCAUCGAUGUCGAUGUUAUAGCGCGAUGAUAAUAACAAUGAUAAUAGAGCAGCGUUGGAUGUUUGUUCGGCCGAUAAUACAGAAACAAUUUCAAGGAUAACAAAGGAACGGGAUUACAACGUUCGACGGUUGAUGAGAAGAGUAAAGCCUCGUGUUUCGAGGUUGUUGGAGCGUCCACGAUGCAUAAAUUGUUAAGUCGCUUAAAUGGAAAGCUGAGAAAAAAUUCACCUGCAUCCCGUCGCAUUGUAAACCGGUCCUGGCAGAUUCAUCGUUUCAUCGAGUUCAGUUUGACCAACGAUAACCCCCUUUUUCCUCAAUCUACUUCGUUUCUUUCACGCGUGCUUUAUUUUUCGACUUUAAAGUUUGUAAGCUGUCGUUCUCUGUAAAUGCAACGCAUUUAUUUUCUUAACCGGGAAAAACGAUGAGCGUUAAAAGAUAGAAAGAAGCGAGUUUGUAAUUUAUUUAUUUGGAUCCAUUAGAGCACGAAUAAUAGGAAAUAUUAUUCAGAAGUGUAGUAUCGUGGACGAAAGGUCUAAGAGAUAUCGGGCGAGCUAUAAACUAUGUCGCGAGAAAGCCGAAGUGCCGACAGGCCCAUCACUGUGUCGUCGGUCCUUCGAUCGAGUAGUUUCGUGGAAAAGGCCUGGCUGACCCUGGUCACGAGCGGUUGCGGAACACGUGCGUGGUGGGUCUGAGACAAAAGACAAAGGGACGCUAAGGGAGAAAGACGAAUUAACAGUCAGUGUCAGUGGAGAAGCCAGAGAGUGCUAACUGCGUUGUCGAGAGAGUGUGGUCCGCGUGAGAGAGAGAGAGAGCGUUGGAUCCGUGGUGACGAGAGUUGCAAAUUAACUAUUUAGUUAUAUUUAGUCCAAAUUAUAGUACGUUAUUGUGAUUAGUUCACGUUAAACAACCAUCGUUUCCUGUUUGAUCCAUUCAUUGUAAAUAAACUAAAUGCAGUAGUAAGAUAAUACAGAAGCAAUGCACUACGGAAAUAUAGCCAAAGAAAAAUUACCAAAGUACCUAGAAGGGAGGAUGAAGUGGGAAGACGGAAGAAUACUGGCAAGAUUCAGAUGUGGAAACGAGACCAAAGCAAGGGAAGCACUGGAAGGAAGAGGGAGCAAAAAGAUGCGGACUAUGUAAAAGGAAGGAAGAAGACCUGAGGCAUGCAAUAGAAGAAUGCGAAAUAACGGGAGGACCAAAGGACAUAGGAAAAGUACUAAAUGAGACGGGAGAAGGUUUAGCAGAACUGAAAGCAAUAAUACAGAAGAUAAGGGCAAACGCCAGGAAGGAUGCACGGCAAGGAGACUAAAGCCCAAAGUUGCAAUAGUUUUUAGUCAUUAGUGGUUAAUUUGUAGUUACUAGUUUUAGUUUUUAGAGAAUAGAAUAACUAAGAGAGUGCAAUAGAACAGAGUGGAAAAGAGGGGAGGUGGAUAUAUAAGAACAGAAUUAGACAUAGGAGAAAGUUCGUCCAAAGCCGAAAGGCACGGACUAAGCAACAAUAAUAAUAAUAAUACAGAAGCAAGGAAUGAAAAAGAAUGGCUUGAUAGAUAAUAUCAAGGUUUGUUUUCUACGUAAUAUGUGCCAUGAGAGGAUUGAGAAAUAAGUCAAUCGUAACACGACUCGUAAGCGUCUGCACAAGUACACGCUAACUGAGAAUUCAACUGGUAUCACGUAAGAAAAUGUCAGAUGUAAAAUAUAAACACAAUCCGAUUUCGCGAUUGUGCUCCCAUUAACGUGAGAUUACAACAGCGCAAACUGCAUCAACAGACUAAAAACAGAGUACACGAAGCAUUAGCAGAGAACUGGCAUGAUCCAUCAAACGCAGCCCAUUUCCAAAGAACUUCCUCGCCUACGUUAUUUCGAUUCCAUUUUAACCGCGUUUGGUGGUAACGUUUUCCAACAUCAUCAUUCGUAUCAAAGUGUUCCACGAACGAGGCACGGCCCGGCUAGUAACGUCUGGUGGCAUUAAGCCGGGGAACGAGCGAUUUUCUUGGCAGCUAGCGCACCGAGUGCAAAUAAGAAGGGAGAGUUAACGACCCUGAAUUACGUGUAACAUUUCAUUUUUGCGGAAUGAUAAAUCGUCGCAUACAUAUUGCGUCGCAAUGACAUUACAUACUGACACGUGAACGUGAUAAAGAAACAAGGGAGUCGCUUAAACACGCAGCCGUGGCGAGCACGUAAUCGCUAAUGCAGCUUUGGCUGACCAAGAGAUGAGGUAUAAGUCACUUUUCACAGGCUACAUUCUGACAAACGAGUUUUCUUCUGCUCUAUUUACCAGUUACCAUUAGUGACAAGCUCAAGUACGUGCGCAAGUAGGUUAACAUUGGCUGACUUGAUCUUACAACUCUUUUUAAGCAUUUCGAAAAAAGGAAGCAGUAUUUUAAGAAGCGAAGAAAAUACACUCAAGUAGAGUGGAACAUCGAUCGAAUAAGUUUGAGAUUUGAUUAUUUAAAAUCAUUUUUACUUGCUUAUUUUUCAGAUUUAUCAUCGCAAUCGUUUACUACGUAUCGCAAAGCAACGAUUAUUUCGACAUUGUUAUAAGCAAGCAACAAAAUAAAAUUGUUACUUGUAAGUCAACUGUACUUGCAAGUCAAUUCUCGAAACUCGCAAGUACUCGUUCUGAGAUUUGAAGAUAACUCGCGAAGAUCGAAUACUUGGCAAAUGUGAUACAACGAACGAAACGCAUUAUAUGUUACGAAUCCUGUGACGUGAAUCUUGGCUAUCGGAUUUGAUUCGGAUUUAUAAGGACAUAUCGAACUUGAUCCUAUCACUGGUUACCACCCUUCUCGUGAUCGCAUGAAAAGCAGCCGUUUCGCUCGUGCAAGGACAACUUGGAAAUCCGUGACGAUCUUCUCGCCGAUCUCGAAAGUAGACGCAUUCGAAACUUGAACGCGAACCUGCUCGUGUAAUUUCUGAUCUCCACCACCGAGAGGGGACAUUAACAGCGCUGCUUUACGAUCUCGGCGCCUACCUUCUCCUUGGCAAAUUAUUUCCACAAUCGGACCAACUAUCGGCUACGCAAUCACCGCCACGAAAUUGACGAUCGUUUAAUGUAAUGUUUGCCGCGUUCGAGGAACGUGUCGCUACUUUAUGGACCAUUCUCCUUUCGUUUGACGACGAAAUCAUCUUGCCGUUCUAUAGCAGUUUCGGAUCGUUAGGUGUCGUUAUCAUACGCUGGCUGCCUCGUUAACGAAACAUUCGAUUCACUUAGCUCGUCUCGCUUCGUUGGCUCAUAUUAAUUCUUGUAGCUUUAGCAGUUAUAAUCGUGGCAAAGGCUGUUUAUUCAAAUAUCCAGUCUCCUCGUGCAUUUAAUUAACUCAGUUAUUUUUAAAAUACAGAUUUUUUAAUGCAGCAAGAUCAUGUCUCUAUCACGUAGUAUCAGAAUAUCUUAUUUCAGCUUCAAGCUUUCAGCUUUCGCAAACGAUCUAGGCAUUAAAAUUACCGAGAUAUGUAUAAUUUUGUGUGCUAGACUAGAUUAGCCGCGUAGUAGUGACACACGUAUGUGAAAAUGAGUGUAUGCAAGUCUCGAGAAACAGAUGAAUGCAACUGUUCGGUUGGCAGUGUGAUAUGCAAGAUGGUGAGACAAAGAAAGUGCUGAGACGCGUGCAAAUGUAUGUAGUACCUAAAUAGUCUAGAGCAAGGACAAGAAAGGAUGUUUUAUUUGAAGUUAAGUUUAGUUUUAGUUUAACAAGCAAUACCCAAUACAAAAACUAAUUACAAUA
rnacentral:lncRNA from 1 species